rnacentral:rRNA from 1 species
UACGGAGGGUGCGAGCGUUAAUCGGAAUUACUGGGCGUAAAGAGCACGUAGGUGGUUUAGUAAGCGAGAUGUGAAAUGCCUGGGCUUAACCUAGGACGUGCAUUUCGAACUGCUAGGCUAGAGUAUAGUAGAGGGUGGUAGAAUUUCCGGUGUAGCGGUGAAAUGCGUAGAGAUCGGAAGGAAUAUCGGUGGCGAAGGCGGCCACCUGGACUGAUACUGACACUGAGGUGCGAAAGCGUGGGUAGCAAACAGG